rnacentral:rRNA from 1 species
UCGAGAAUCUUCCGCAAUGGGCGAAAGCCUGACGGAGCGACGCCGCGUGAUCGACGAAGUCCUUAGGGAUGUAAAGAUCUUUUAUGAGGGAGGAAGUUUAUUGACGUUACCUCAAGAAUAAGGGGUUGCUAAACUCGUGCCAGCGGCAGCGGUAAUACGAGUGCCCCGAGCGUUAUCCGGAAUCACUGGGCGUAAAGGGUGUGUAGGCGGCUAUGUUAGUCCACCGUCAAAUUCUUCGGCUUAACCGGGGGUCCGCGGUGGAAACGGCAUGGCUUUGAGGAUGUGAGAGGCAAGCGGAACUCUAGGUGUAGGGGUGAAAUCCGUUGAUAUCUAGGGGAACACCAAAAGCGAAGGCAGCUUGCUGGCGCAUUUCUGACGCUGAAACACGAAAGCGUGGGUA